CUAAAACCAAAAGUGCAGAUGUCUUUUUGAAUAAAGCAAAUUCCAUGAGCUAACUAACUCAAAACAGUUGAAACACUGGGGUCUGAAAAUAUUUGGAAAGGAUGUCAAUCUUAGUCCACUUCGCAAUGCUUCUUCUUUUUUGCAAAGAUUCCGUAACUUGUGCAACCCAGGAGAUACAGCUCGAAGUCGUUAAUGCCGCAGUCGGAGAAUCACUUGAAUUGAACUGCACCUAUAACUGUUCCGGUGGAUUUGUCCGGGGACACUGGAAGAAAGUCCCUCAGUGUAAUGAUUGCCCUCGGCUAAUGGAAACAAAAGGUCGGACCAUGAAUGGUGACCUCUGCACGUUAUCCUUGUCUUUUCUGAAUGUUUCUAAAGAAGAUUUUCAGUACAACUAUACCUGCUUUACUGAAGAUCAUGGAAGUGAAGUAUUCCAAUACAAGACAGAGCGGCUGGUAUCACUGCAGGAACAAGCGCAACCUAGUGCCCGAACCACAAAAGUCACUACUGAUGUAUCAGUGACAGUAUUACCUAACCAUGAAGACUUCACAAAUAAUGAGGAUUCUCGAGGCAUCAAGUUGUUGGCAACCAUCACGGUUAUAGUGGCUGUGUUGUUGGCAUUCGUGGCUGCCUACUUAUGCAUGAGCCACAAUCAAUAUGUCAAAGGAAAACGUGCUGAUGGCAAGACAUCAAAAGCGGGACCGGUUGUUGCUAGGCCAACAGCAACAGGCACAUUCUCAACCAGUUGUGAGAGGGUGGCAGUAAGAAUAACUCCAGCGGGUAAGCUAAUGGAACGCAUAAUUCAUUAGUCAGUUUAGUUCCUAAGGUGGGUGUGUACUGUACAUAAUCUGCACUUCAAAACUUUCCCCGGUUUUGACCAGAUUGCCAGAGUGAUCAGGAGGUUCCAUAUGCUGACAUCAUGAUUACUGUCAGAGGUGCCAGCACACCAGAGCUUACACAGAUUUCCUACCUGGCUCCAGGGGACCAUAAACAGCGGUGGAGAGAGGAGCCAGGCCCCAACCUUGCAGCCAGGACCCACCUUCAGGUCUCCCGCUCAGCUGACAGGCUGCAUGUCCACCCCCGAGAGGUUUCUAGGAAGAUGAGCACAAGCUCUGAGUACGCUGUCAUCACCUAUUCUUAACCACUGGGGCUGGAGAAGGAAGGAGACGAGUACAGGCAUUAAGGGGAGAGUAGAGACGGGUAGAUGCCAUUAGUCCUUGGCUGUUAUAUUUGAAUAAAAUGUGUGAAAAAAAGUUUUUUCCCUGUGAACCGCAUGUACGUACAGUGCAGUAAGAAUUGGGCACACAGAAGGAUUUUACACUUUAGACUCCAAAUGUUUGCAUUUGAAAUCGAACAAAUACUAUGUUAUAGAAUAGAUUCCCAGUGUUAUUUAUGGGUGUUUGAGAAUACCUGUACAGAUUCACCAUUAACAAAUGACAACACAAAGGGAAAUAUCCAAAUUAGGCCCUUAUAUUUAGUAUGUGUGGCUUGUUUCUCCUUUUAAAAGAGAGAGAAUAAAAACGCUAGAUACUAUAUACUUAUCUGGUUUACAGAAAAAUUUCCAUUGCUUGAAAUUACACCGGCAUGUUUGUGACAUAGCACUUUUUACACAUAAUGCAACUAUUUCAGGGCAGCACAGUUAUUUGCAUAAUUGGAUUGACAGGUGUUUCCUGUUAGUCAGGUUAUUUAUGAGAGCUUUCAAUGUCUACACUUGAUUCAAGGCUCUGCAUUUGCCUUUGGAUUCUGCUAUUGCUGUCGGUCAACUGGAUGAAGAAAUGGCCUUGUCAAUGAAAGUCAAUGACACCAUUAUGAGCCUGAAAAUGUAGGAAGAAAUAAACGAAAAUCACCCAGAAUAUUAGCCGAAAGGCUCAACACUGCCAUUACUGCUCUACAUUGGCAGCACCCAAGCGUGUUCGCAUGUUGUUUAUUUCCGAUGGCUGAAGCACACUCGUCUUGAAAAUGGAAAUAAGAAAACGUUGAUUCCUGUGGGUUUCUGGUGUAGCAGGUACAACGUCAUAUGGACACAAUGCUGAUAGUAAAGCAAAUCAAGCCUUGGAUUGUAUCUGCGCCAUUAGACAAUGGUUUAGAACUACAUUUUUAAAAAACACUGGUGAGUUCAGCAAUCGCAAAUAGCCUAGUAGGCCAAGGAAUAUCUCUACAGUGCUUGACCAAAGAGUGCUUGUCACCAUAAUGAAGGAAAUUAAAUAUUUUCUACAAAUCAGAAUCAAUCACCAGGAGUGAUAGAGAAAUGUCUAGUGGGUUCAAUGUGUUGCAGAUUUUGAAGAAGACUCAUAAAUGGAUAAAUGCAGCUUGAGCUCAGUUAAACUGUUGUACCCCAAAAAAGAUCAAAUGUAUAUAUCAUGGAUGGUCAGCCCACACAGCUCUGUCUAUGAGGUAACAGUGUUAUUUCACCAGGCAAACCAUUUAGCUUCCAACUGAAAGAUAUUUAUUGAACGAUUAAAGCAUCUAAAAAUGCACUGUGUUAACAUUGCCUAAAAAAUGAACAUCCACUAAUAAAGGUUUAUUUUGUGUUAAGGUUUAUUGUAACUGCUUUUAAAACUACUUGAAAAUAUAAUGACGUGUCUAUUUGGUAUUAAAUAAAAUAUUCUGGAU
ensembl:lncRNA